rnacentral:rRNA from 1 species
UGUGUAUCUGUGCAGGACUACUACUGCCAUAAAUUUCAGAUGUGUCCUGAGAUAUUCAACCCGAUCCUCCAUGGCAAGCGUCUUUUCCAGCACUUCGCAGUUGACACAUAUAUCAAGAUUCAGAACUCUCAGCUAGACUACAUAUGUGGUCUUCAGGAUAGGAUAAGAGCCGACCUAUACCAAGGCUUAGUGGAUAGCUUGCAUUCUGGUGAGGGUAAGGAGGAUGCUAUUGGAAAGCAUACAGUGUUGGGUAUGUCAUUUAUUGGUGGUCCACAGGACAAGAGGCGUCACUACAUGGAUGUUAUGGCCAUGGUGCGGAAGUAUGGCAAUCCUGCUGUAUUCCUCAUAAUGACAUGCAACCCAAACUGGGAUGGCUCACAAUGA